AAAAAUAACGAUACGGGACUCUAUUGAGGCCCCGUAAUCGGAAUGAGUACACUUUAAAUCCUUUAACAAGGAUCCAUUGGAGGGCAAGUCUGGUGCCAGCAGCCGCGGUAAUUCCAGCUCCAAUAGCGUAUAUUAAAGUUGUUGCGGUUAAAAAGCUCGUAGUUGGUUCUGCGUGCCGCGCUGUCGGUUCGCCGCCUGUCGGUGUAACUGGCAUGUCGCGGCAUGUCCUGUCGGUGGUGAACGGAGUCCACAAUGCUACAUAGGCUUUAUAGCCGAUGUUAGCGUCGUGUGUACUUCCGUUGGCCGAUCUCUCCUACUUCGGUGCUCUUAAACGAGUGUCGAGGUAGGCCGACACGUUCACUUUGAACAAAUUAGAGUGCUUAAAGCAGGCUGAAAUAUCUGCCUGAAUAGUGGUGCAUGGAAUGAUAAAACAGGACCUCGGUUCUAUUUUGUUGGUUUUAGGAAUGUGAGGUAAUGAUCAAUGUGGACUGGCGGGGGCAUUCGUAUUGCGACGUUAGAGGUGAAAUUCUUGGAUCGUCGCAAGACGCACUAGAGCGAAAGCAUUUGCCAAGUAUGUCUUAAUUGAUCAAGAACGAAAGUUAGAGGUUCGAAGGCGAUCAGAUACCGCCCUAGUUCUAACCAUAAACGAUGCCAGCCAGCGAUCCGCCGAUGUUCCUUUAAUGACUCGGCGGGGAGCUUCCACCCGGGAAACCAAAGCUUUUGGGUUCCGGGGGAAGUAUGGUUGCAAAGCUGAAACUUAAAGGAAUUGACGGAAGGGCACCACCAGGAG
rnacentral:rRNA from 1 species